AAUUUUGGACAAUGGGGGAAACCCUGAUCCAGCCAUCCCGCGUGUAUGAUGAAGGCCNNNGGGUUNUCAAGUACUUUUGGCAGNGAGNAAAAGGUAUCUCCUAAUACGAGAUACUGCUGACGGUAUCUGCAGACUAAGCACCGGCUAACUACGUGCCAGCAGCCGCGGUAAUACUUAGGGUGCAAGCGUUAAUCGGAAUUACUGGGGGUAAAGCAAGUGUAGGCAGUUCGGAAAGAAAGAUGUGAGAUCCAAGGGCUCAACCUUGGAACUGCAUUUUUAACUGCCGGGCUAGAGUAUGUCAGAGGGGGGUAGAAUUACACGUGUAGCAGUGAAAUGCGUAGAUAUGUAGAGGAAUACCGAUGGCGAAGGCAGCCCCCUGGGAUAAUACUGACGCUCAGACACGAAAGCGUGGGGAGCAAACAGG
rnacentral:rRNA from 1 species